CUACGGGUUGCAGCAGUGGGGAAUAUUGCACAAUGGGCGCAAGCCUGAUGCGGCAACGCCGCGUGAGGGAUGAAGGCCUUCGGGUUGUAAACCUCUUUUAGCAGGGAAGAAGCGAAAGUGACGGUACCUGCAGAAAAAGCACCGGCUAACUACGUGCCAGCAGCCGCGGUAAUACGUAGGGUGCAAGCGUUGUCCGGAAUUAUUGGGCGUAAAGAGCUCGUAGGGGGUUUGUCACGUCUGCUGUGAAAAUCCAAGGCUCAACCUUGGACUUGCAGUGGGUACGGGCAGGCUAGAGUGCGGUAGGGGAGAUGGGAAUGCCUGGUGUAGCGGUGGAAUGCGCAGAUAUCAGGAGGAACACCAAUGGCGAAGGCACAUCUCUGGGCCGUAACUGACGCUGAGGAGCGAAAGCGUGGGGAGCGAACAGGAUUAGAUACCCUUGUAGUC
rnacentral:rRNA from 1 species